CACAUAUUACGUGAUGCGUUAAAAGCCGAUGAUUAAUUUAGCACGGACGAUGCACCAAGAUCUACGGCUUCUUUUGUAAUCACGGGCUUUACUUCAGAAUAUUCGCGUGUUCUUUGCGGCUGGGUGUUUUUCGGCAGCAUCUUAAUACAAGAAAAGUUAUGAAGUUGGUGUUUGUUUUGUGCGUCCUAAUGAUAUGUAUGGUGUCUGCCCAGCCGCCGUAUUUCUUUGAUGGUCCACCACCUUUGGACUUUAUCGGAGGAGACCAAGGGUAUAUGGGAAGUUGGGUUGGUACUUAUGGUGGCGCAGGGGCAGGAGAGAUGUACGCCGAUGGUAUAAGACACUAGUCAUUUCCUCAGGGGAUACAAUAAAAAUAUGAAUGGACAAUAUUAAUUAGAAUUCAUCAUCUGUUGACAAUCUCGUUUUGUGAUGUAUUUUUGUGUGUUUAUUAUAUCAUACAUGUAUUAUGUCGUGCUUACUGCUAAAAUAGCUUUUAACUGUACAAUU